GAAGCUUUUGAACUUGAUUUCUUUGGAUACUUGAAGAUCACUUCAAAGAUUCGCAGGAAUACUUGAACAUUUGAAGAAAUACUCGAAGAUUUGAAGAUACUUGAAUACUUGAAGAUUUUGAAGGAUACUUGAAGAUUUGAAUGCUCAAAUACUUGAAGAUUCGAAGGAUACUUGAAGAUUUGAAUACUCAAACGAUUGAAGAUUUGAAGGAGACUUGAACGUUAGAUAGAAUUCUUCAAGAUACUUGAAUACUUGGAAGAAUACUUGAACUCUCCAAUUCUUCGCCUCUUCUACUUGUGAUACUAGAGAGAAUUCUUAUGCUCUUCAAUCUUCCGUUCCUUCACGUUGUUCUAAUGAGCACCCCAACACCUCUAUUUAUAGAUUUUAGAGAUGGGCUUCAUGGGCUUUAUGGGCUUUGGGCCUCCAUGUAUGGGCCUUAGGGCCUUAAGUGGCCAAUAAGCC
rnacentral:lncRNA from 1 species